rnacentral:rRNA from 1 species
UACGUAGGGUGCAAGCGUUAAUCGGAAUUACUGGGCGUAAAGCGUGCGCAGGCGGUUGGGCAAGACCGAUGUGAAAGCCCCGGGCUUAACCUGGGAAUGGCAUUGGUGACUGCACGGCUAGAGUGUGUCAGAGGGGGGUAGAAUUCCACGUGUAGCAGUGAAAUGCGUAGAGAUGUGGAGGAAUACCGAUGGCGAAGGCAGCCCCCUGGGAUAACACUGACGCUCAUGCACGAAAGCGUGGGGAUCAAACAGG